UACGUAGGGUGCAAGCGUUGUCCGGAAUUAUUGGGCGUAAAGAGCUUGUAGGCGGUUUGUCGCGUCUGCUGUGAAAUUUCGGGGCUCAACCCCGAACUUGCAGUGGGUACGGGCAGACUAGAGUGUGGUAGGGGAGACUGGAAUUCCUGGUGUAGCGGUGAAACGCGCAGAUAUCAGGAGGAACACCGAUGGCGAAGGCAGGUCUCUGGGCCAUAACUGACGCUGAGAAGCGAAAGCAUGGGGAGCGAACAGG
rnacentral:rRNA from 1 species